UUCUGUUUCCGCAGGUAGGGUCGCAUCAGUCGUGCGUGGGGGAAGUCCGGUCGAAGUCCGGCGCUGACCCGCAACGGUAGGCCUCCUCGUGAGGACGAGCCCGAAUACCCGCACACGGCCGGCCUCU
rnacentral:ncRNA from 1 species